GUGGCGUACGGGUGAGUAACACGUGGAUGAUCUACCUCUUAGUGGGGGAUAACCUUGGGAAACCGGGGCUAAUACCGCAUAAGCCUGAAAAGGGAAAGGAGCAAUUCGCUGAGAGAGGAGUCCGCGGCUGAUUAGCUAGUUGGUGAGGUAACGGCUCACCAAGGCAAUGAUCGGUAGCCGGCCUGAGAGGGCACACGGCCACACUGGCACUGAAACACGGGCCAGACUCCUACGGGAGGCAGCAGUGGGGAAUCUUGCACAAUGGGGGCAACCCUGAUGCAGCGACGCCGCGUGAGCGAUGAAGCCCUUCGGGGUGUAAAGCUCUUUCGACGGGAACGAUAAUGACGGUACCCGGAGGAAUAAGCCCCGGCUAACUUCGUGCCAGCAGCCGCGGCAAUACGAAGGGGGCUAGCGUUGCUCGGAAUCACUGGGCGUAAAGGGCGCGUAGGCGGCGUUUUAAGUCGGGGGUGAAAGCCUGUGGC
rnacentral:rRNA from 1 species